AGGCAAAACGGGAAGCCUAACACAUGCAAGCCGAGCGGUAGAGAUCUUUCGGGAUCUUGAGAGCGGCGUACGGGUGCGGAACACGUGUGCAACCUGCCUUUAUCUGGGGGAUAGCCUUUCGAAAGGAAGAUUAAUACCCCAUAAUAUACUGAAUGGCAUCAUUCGGUAUUGAAAACUCCGGUGGAUAGAGAUGGGCACGCGCAAGAUUAGAUAGUUGGUGAGGUAACGGCUCACCAAGUCUACGAUCUUUAGGGGGCCUGAGAGGGUGAUCCCCCACACUGGUACUGAGACACGGACCAGACUCCUACGGGAGGCAGCAGUGAGGAAUAUUGGACAAUGGGUGAGAGCCUGAUCCAGCCAUCCCGCGUGAAGGACGACGGCCCUAUGGGUUGUAAACUUCUUUUGUAUAGGGAUAAACCUACCCUCGUGAGGGUAGCUGAAGGUACUAUACGAAUAAGCACCGGCUAACUCCGUGCCAGCAGCCGCGGUAAUACGGAGGGUGCAAGCGUUAUCCGGAUUUAUUGGGUUUAAAGGGUCCGUAGGCGGAUCUGUAAGUCAGUGGUGAAAUCUCACAGCUUAACUGUGAAACUGCCAUUGAUACUGCAGGUCUUGAGUGUUGUUGAAGUAGCUGGAAUAACUAGUGUAGCGGUGAAAUGCGUAGAUAUUACUUAGAACACCAAUUGCUAAGGCAGGUUACUAAGCAACAACUGACGCUGAUGGAGGAAAGCGUGUGGAGCGAACAGGAUUAUAUACCCUGGUAGUCCACGCCGUAAACGAUGCUCACUCGUUUUUGCAAUGUAAGUUUCACAGACUAAGCGAAACUGAUAAGUUAGCCACCUGGGGGAGUACGAACGCAAGUUUGAACUCGAAUAGUGAUUUUUUUAUUUUUUAAAAAA
rnacentral:rRNA from 1 species